rnacentral:lncRNA from 1 species
CGGGGGUGAAUUCAAUAAGUAAAACCGAUUUCAUACGUAAUCUUAAACCAUGCAUGCUAAGUAUGAGUAGACUCACCAAGAGGCUAAAAUGAACUGAAAAUUGAAGUGUCUUAAAACAUGUAUAACAAUUAUAAUCUGAUAAGCUGGUGAAUCACUACACUUAGUUUCUUAAAACUUUACUUUUGCAGAACAAGUAGAACUGAAGCUGAAAAAUAUUAAAACAUGGAUACUGAU